GACCUGGUGGUGGAGUUGGUAGCACGCUUGCUCUCUUUAUGCGGAGAGUGAACCAAUAUCUGAGCAGGAGGUCCCCGUUCAAUUCGGGGCCAGGUCA